CGAACGGCUCCGUAUAUCUGCCAUAUUCCGCCGCCCAUAUCCAGCGGCAUAACCACGGUAAUUCUGUGGCUAAUACGUGUACUACGGCGGGCGCCCCUCAGGGGUGCGCCCCCGGUCUUGCCGAGCAUACUAACGGCGGGGCAACCCGACCGCGUGAGAGCUGGCAAGGGUACCUGACCGCAGCAGCAGCUGCGGCCCGCGCGAUGAGCGCCAGACCUAUCAACUAGAUGCCCAGGCAUUGCCUGGCCAUGGUUAUAACGGGUACAGAGGAUCAGGGUUCGGUCCUGGAGAGGUAGCCUGAGAAAUCGCUACCACUUCUAAGGAAGGCAGCAGGCGCGCAACGUUCCCAAUGGGGAUACCCUGAGGACGUGAAGGGACAUACCAAUGCCCGGCCCUCAAAGCCGGGCAAUUGGAAUGGGGGACCUUUAAACCCCACACCGAGUAACAAUUGGAGGACAAGUCUGGUGCCAGCACCCGCGGUAAUUCCAGCUCCAAUAGCAUCUAAUUGAGUUGUUGCAGUUAAAACGCUCGUAGUUCAAACCGGUGCGCCCACCGGCGGCCCAGUACUGCGGGUGCCCGGUGCCCCUACUUCUUGGGUGGCGCCGGGCCCCGUGGGGCCGGCUGUCUGGUGGCCACUACUACGCUGGGGGGUCACGCCGGGCGGGGCUUUAGUGCCCUGCUCGGUUGCCCCCGGCUCCUUACUUUGAAUAAAUGUCAGUGCUCCAAGCAGGCCGUAACGGCCCUUGAAACCCGCAGCAAAGAAUAACAGAACAGGGACCUCCCUGCUCGUUGGUGCAGGUCGGGUCAAUGAUCGAUAGGGGGGAUCGGGGUGGGCCACAUGGCGGGGGUAGGGGUGAAAUCCGUUGAUCCUCGCCAGGUGAACUAGAGCGAAAGCAGCCCACAAGUACCCGCCCUUUGAUCAAGAACGAAAGUCUGGGGAUCGAAGAUGAUCAGAUACCAUCGUAGUCCAGACCCUAAAUCAUGCCGGCCAUGGAUGGGCCCUCGUCCAUCCCGACCCGGCCCGGACCUUAUGGGAAACCAGAAGCGUUUGGGCUCCGGGGGGAGUAUGGUCGCAAGACUGAAACUUAAAGGAAUUGACGGAAGAGCACACAAGGAGUGGAGCCUGCGGCUUAAUUUGACUCAACACGGGGAAACUCACUAGGGCAAGAGGGGGGUAGGAUGGACAGCCGAUCAGGGCUUUCCUGAUUCCUCCAGUGGUGGUGCAUGGUCGUUCUUAGUUCGUGGAUUGAUUUGUCUGGUUUAUUCCGCUAACGAGCGAGAACCCGCCCUCUCGUGGUUAGGUCCCCGGGCACGCCGGACCCCACGCCGCAAGGCAGGGGACUGGCUGAAAACGCCCGUGGGCACGUUCCGGAGGGACCGGCUUUGACAAGGAGCCGGCAGUGGGUCAAUAACAGGUCAGUGAUGCCCUUAGAUGCUCUAGGCCGCACGCGCGCUACAAUGGGGUGAGUACCGGGCCCUUCCUGCACCUACUGGUCGCGGGGAAUCCUGGGAAAGUGCCCCGUAUCCGGGAUGGCGCCGUGUAACUCGGCGCCUCAACAAGGAAUUUCUAGUAGUCGUGGGUCACCAGCCCGCGACGAUUCUGUCCCUGCUCUUUGUACACACCGCCCGUCGCUCCUACCGAUUGGGCUGCACGGUGAGUUGCCCGGAGUAUGGCCGGCCCGCAAGGGCCGGUCCGAAGGGAGGCGAACCCUGCGGCCUAGAGGAAGGAGAAGUCG
rnacentral:rRNA from 1 species